rnacentral:misc_RNA from 1 species
UUCAAAAUUUUAGUGGGUUUUCAGCUGGAUUAAGGAUGCAGUUCUCUCUAAACAGUCAAGAAUUAACUAUUUACUUAUAAUUAAUAUUCAUAUCUCCCUUUUAUGGAGAAAUAUGCUGAUUAGUUUCGAGCGGAAUACGCUGCUUGGCUCAUCGAUUCCGAAUAUGCUGUGGCUCAGAACGCUUUUCAUGUCGCAAUAACGAGACUUUUCGGCGUUUCUCAAUGGUAAUUGAUGCGUUAUUAUCUGGAUUUAGAGCAAAAAUUCAUACAGGUCUUUGCCUUUUCUUUCCAGAAGCCGAUGGACUCUUGAUGACUUAGUUUUGUGACCCUUUGUUUUUGAUCGCUUGUCCUCAUCCAGGUCCUCAAUAGCAGUGGUGCCUUUGUUAUGACUAACGGUGAUUAAAUCCUUUUGUUUAGUGCUAUUAUUUUUCUUCUCCGGUUUCUCUUUGCGAAGUUGUCGCUUUUCACGAUGCCGACCCACCAGUGGCUUUCUUGCGUUGGGUCGAUACUUGAAGGUGAAACCAAGAAAUUGUCUUUGAUUACCGUUCAUAACUCCAUUGCUUUUUGCUUUUUGCUCUGCCUUCCUUUGCUUUUCGUACACAUCUUUGUACGCAUCUAGUACCUGUUCGUCAUUGAAAUCAUCAAAAUAGGAAGUAUCAAGUUGAUUCUCCAAGCGGGGAACAAAUGGUGGCACAGCUCUUUUCCGCAAACCGUUCCAAUGGAGUCUCUUAAAAAAUGGAUGCUUUUGGAUUUCGAUUGUGCUUUGAAAUCUUGACGUUGGUUCUGUUAGACACUUGGUGAUGAAAGACCAUGCCUCGUCUGAAACCGAUCUCGCUUUUUUGUCGUAAAUUCCAUUUUCAUUUUUGGAGGGUCUCUGCAACAUUUCUCGCCAGUAGUAUAGAUUAGUCCACGUUUCUUGGAGCGUUGACCCAGAAAAGGGAGGAUAUCCUACCAGACAUUCAUAACAUAUGCAGCCAAGUGACCAGUAGUCUACGGUCCUAUCGUAUUUCUUUCCGUAAACAACUUCUGGAGCCAUGUAUUCAGGAGAUCCAACAACGGAAUUUACCUAAUUUUUUUUUAGUUUACGUUUGAAUCAAAAUGUCUUUACCUUGUUCUCAUUCUUUUCCAAAAGCGCUUUAUAAAUGUUUCUUCUUUGCUUUUGUGUUAAAUAAGGUCUCUGAGGAUUAACCGCGCUCACUAGUGCAUGUUGAAGUCGAUUUACCUGAUUCGAUGUAACAAUUGCAGUACUUAGCCCAAAGUCACUAAGCUUGAUAUGUCCCUUUUGAUCAAUUAAAAAGUUCUCGGGCUUUAAAUCACGAUGCAUAUAACCUAGUUUGUGGACUGCACUGAUUGCAGCGACCAUUUCUGCUAGGUAAAAUCGGGUUUGAUUUUCAUGCAAAAGCCCCUUGGUAGUCAAAAAAGUUCGAAAAUCUCCUCCAGGGACGUAUUCCAUUGCUAGAUAUACUUUUUCCUUAUCUUGAAAGGCAUAAUACAGUUUUACAAGCCAUUCGGAAUUAGUAUUCGUUAGUAUAUCUCUUUCAUUCAAUAUGUGUUUCACCUGAGCCGUUGUUAGUUUUCUUUUAAGAUCUUUAAUAGUGUCUUCUUACUUCAUUAAGUUGCUGUAAUGUUGAUUUUUUCAUCAUUUUCAUUGCUAACAAUUCGUGUGUGUUGCGCUUUUUAGCAAGCCACACAGAACCAUAUCCUCCUUGUCCAAGCUUUACUAAUAAAUCGAAAUGGCUACAUUGAAUCUUGGUUCUUUUUUUUCUCAAAAAUGCUCUUUCCCUUCCACAAUGCUCUUUCCAUAGUCGCUUCUGUUUAGAUUGUUUUAAUGACGAUGUACACGCUGUAAAUUCUUCCAAUCUUUCCUUCCUUAGUUUAUGGUACUCAAUUGUGCUAAUAUAGUAAUUGAGGAAGAAAACUUGACAGGCCAUCCGCUUUCUUCUUGUCUCGGGUCGACUAAGUAUUUCAACUUCACUGGGCUUUAGUAAUUGGUAGUAAGUUAAACCUUUAGGAUCAUUUCUUUUCGUCCAGCAAUUUUGUCUUUCUUCGUUGAGCACCAUGCGUUCAUUUUUCGAAGACACACUUGCUGACGCAUUUUCCCUGUCUCGUAAAUAGCCGCUUGAUAGUAAAAAUAAAUCAGAAAAUUCGACUCCAUUUUCUUUUGCCUUUGAUACUAGUUUGUUAUUGUCUAAUUCUUUAAGGCCCAGUAGGUCCAUUCUAUGUUUGUGGAAUCGUUCUAUAAAAUUGUCCCAAGUGAAUUGCUUUUUCCAUGCAAUGGAUUCUUUCCUUUUUUUGCUCCUAUUCAAGUUUAUGUGAGCUCAAUUUUGAAAUUUAUUUUGAGUACACGUUGUGCCUGAAUAAAACUCGAUUCUCCCAGCAAAUGUAAACAAACACCGGGUUCUGGGAAUUUUUACAAAGAUGAUACAUGCGCAGUAAAAUUUACUUAAAAAAGGUUAAAUAAAAAAUUAUAUUUCGAAUUCUUUUGCGCGAUUAAAAUAAAUUUUUUUUACGAAUAUGUGUGAUUAUUUCCUUUAUAAUCAGGGAGAUACAAACACCAAAAUGGUUAAUCGAGAACAAAAAAAAAUAAAAAAUAAAUAUAAAUCUUGGAAUUAGCUUAUUUUGUCAAUUAAAUUCUCCAACUAAGUAGAUAUGUACUGGUGAUUAAGAAAAGCUAUAUACUUCAACCGCAAACUAUCCAGAUUAUUAUUUAUGUUCUUGUGAUGAUAUAGAAGGAGACCUAGAAUUGCUUUCUUUAUCCGUUUUUAUUUGCCUUGAAAGACUCCUGUUUUGUCGAAUCAAAUCUUGAAGCCUUUCUCUGGCACCCAACUUGUCUCUUUUACGACCUUCUUGCUCAGCCUUGAGUUGAAACUCCAUCUCUCUUAGUCUCAACUGCCAUAUAUGGCUCAUUCCUUCAGCAUCUCGUUUCAAAGCUGUGAUACCUCUUUGAACUGCUGACUUAUCUGGAGAAGCGGGAACAAGCUUUUUAUCCUCGGAAUCCAAACUAACGCGUUUUGAAGCCCUUGGCGAAUUUGGAAUAGAUGAAGUUGACCCAGCGCCUAAAAGUUUCACUCGUUCUUCCAACUGUGAUAAACGCUUACUUCUAGCCUCAAGUACACCAUCAAGCUUCCUGAGUUCGGUCUUAAAUUCCCGCUCCAUUGAUUGACACUUCCGUUUGAAUUCUUGAAUGGAUUUGUCCAACUCCCUAAAAUUCAUAUUUACUGCCUGAUUCAUGCUUGAAAUUGUCGUCAAUGCUUCAACGUUGGUAUUUACAGGCUUACUUCCCGUAUUCAGUUGGGUAAAACGAGUGACAAUGUUUUUUAUGAGGGAAUUUCUUUCUUCCACUUGCUCUUUAAGGCGUUUUUCAGAUGCUUGUAAAAGUUUAAGUUCUCUAGAUUGACUCCUUUCAGAAGGACUGGAAGAUCCAGAGAGGUUUCUUCUGAAAGCUUGUGAAGACAAAUUUUCCAACUCUAAUUGGAUUGCUUUUUUGGAUCGUCUUUCCGCAUCCAGUAAGUUCUUUAACUCCUUCUUUUCAGACACUAACGUCUCCAAAG